rnacentral:rRNA from 1 species
GAUGAACGCUGGCGGCGUGCUUAACACAUGCAAGUCGAACGGUGAAGCAGGAGCUUGCUCUUGUGGAUCAGUGGCGAACGGGUGAGUAACACGUGAGCAACCUGCCCCUGACUCUGGGAUAAGCGCUGGAAACGGCGUCUAAUACUGGAUAUGUGAUGUGACCGCAUGGUCUGCAUCUGGAAAGAAUUUCGGUUGGGGAUGGGCUCGCGGCCUAUCAGCUUGUUGGUGAGGUAAUGGCUCACCAAGGCGUCGACGGUUAGCCGGCCUGAGAGGGUGACCGGCCACACUGGGACUGAGACACGGCCCAGACUCCUACGGGAGGCAGCAGUAGGGAAUUUUCCACAAUGGGCGAAAGCCUGAUGGAGCAACGCCGCGUGCAGGAUGAAUGCCUUUGGGUUGUAAACUGCUUUUAUUAGUGACGAAUAUGACGGUAACUAAUGAAUAAGGACCUGCUAACUACGUGCCAGCCGCCGCAGUAA